rnacentral:rRNA from 1 species
AUUGAACGCUGGCGGCAUGCCUUACACAUGCAAGUCGAACGGCAGCACGGGUGCUUGCACCUGGUGGCGAGUGGCGAACGGGUGAGUAAUACAUCGGAACAUGUCCUGUAGUGGGGGAUAGCCCGGCGAAAGCCGGAUUAAUACCGCAUACGAUCUACGGAUGAAAGCGGGGGACCUUCGGGCCUCGCGCUAUAGGGUUGGCCGAUGGCUGAUUAGCUAGUUGGUGGGGUAAAGGCCUACCAAGGCGACGAUCAGUAGCUGGUCUGAGAGGACGACCAGCCACACGGGGACUGAGAAAGGGCCCAGACUCCGAGGGGAGGCAGCAGCGGGGAAUGUUGGACAAUGGACGAAAGCCUGAUCCAGCAAUGCCGCGUGUGUGAAGAAGGCCUUCGGGUUGGAAAGCACUUUUGGCCGGAAAGAAAUCCUUGGCCCUAAUACGGUCGGGGGAUGACGGUACCGGAAGAAUAAGCACCGGCUAACUACGUG